UACGUAUGGGGCAAGCGUUAUCCGGAUUUACUGGGUGUAAAGGGGGCGCAGACGGCAGCGCAAGCCAGGAGUGAAAGCCCGGGGCCCAACCCCGGGACUGCUCUUGGAACUGCGCGGCUGGAGUGCAGGAGGGGCAGGCGGAAUUCCUGGUGUAGCGGUGAAAUGCGUAGAUAUCAGGAGGAACACCGGUGGCGAAGGCGGCCUGCUGGACUGCGACUGACGUUGAGGCCCGAAAGCGUGGGGAGCAAACAGG
rnacentral:rRNA from 1 species